rnacentral:misc_RNA from 1 species
GAACGCACAUUGCGCCCGCUAGUAUUCUGGCGGGCAUGCCUGUUCGAGCGUCAUUUCAACCCUCAAGCCCCCGGGCUUGGUGUUGGGGAUCGGCGAGCCUCCGCGCCCGCCGUCCCCUAAAUCUAGUGGCGGUCUCGCUGUAGCUUCCUCUGCGUAGUAGCACACCUCGCACUGGGAAACAGCGCGGCCACGCCGUUAAACACCCAACUUCUGAAAGUUUGACCUCGGAUCAGGUAGGAAUACCCGCUGAACUUA